rnacentral:rRNA from 1 species
UGGGGAAUUUUCCGCAAUGGGCGAGAGCCUGACGGAGCAACGCCGCGUGAGGGAGGAAGGCCUGUGGGUUGUAAACCUCCUUUCUCAGGGAAGAAGCACUGACGGUACCUGAGGAAUCAGCAUCGGCUAACUCCGUGCCAGCAGCCGCGGUAAGACGGAGGAUGCAAGCGUUAUCCGGAAUUAUUGGGCGUAAAGCGUCCGUGGGUGGUUAUGUAAGUCUGCUGUUAAAGCUCGCAGCUCAACUGCGAAUCGGCAGUGGAAACUAUAUGACUAGAGUGUGGAAGGGGUAGAGGGAAUUCCUAGUGUAGCGGUGAAAUGCGUAGAUAUUAGGAAGAACACCAGUGGCGAAGGCGCUCUACUGGGCCAACACUGACACUGAUGGACGAAAGCUAGGGGAGCGAAAGGGAUUAGAUACCCCCGUAGUCC